UACGUAGGGGGCUAGCGUUGUCCGGAAUCAUUGGGCGUAAAGAGCGUGUAGGCGGUCCGGUAAGUCCGCUGUGAAAGUCGGGGGCUCAACCCUCGAAAGCCGGUGGAAACUGUCGGGCUAGAGUACGGAAGAGGCGAGUGGAAUUCCUGGUGUAGCGGUGAAAUGCGCAGAUAUCAGGAGGAACACCAAUUGCGAAGGCAGCUCGCUGGGACGUCACUGACGCUGAGACGCGAAAGCGUGGGGAGCAAACAGG
rnacentral:rRNA from 1 species